rnacentral:tRNA from 1 species
ACCUGCCUGGCUCAGUUAGUAGAGUGCAUGACUCUUGAUCUUGGGGUCAUGGGUUUGGGUCCCAUGGUGGGGG